UUGCUUCAGCAGCACAUAUACUAGAAUUGGAACAAUACAGAGAAGACUAGCGUGGCUCCCGUGCAAGAAUGAUAUGCAAAUUCAUGAAGCAUCCCAUAUUUUU
rnacentral:snRNA from 1 species